rnacentral:tRNA from 1 species
AGUCUCUUCGCCAAACGGUAAGGCCCGGGAUUUUGAUUCCCGUAUUCGUUGGUUCGAAUCCAACAGAGACUG